rnacentral:rRNA from 1 species
CUACGGGUUGCUCCAGCGGAACUUUUACAAUGCACGAAAGUGUGAUAAAGCAAGCCAAAGUGCCAAUCGUUUAGAUUGGCUUUUCUUCACUGUAAAAAGGUGGAGGAAUAAGGACUGGGAAAGACUGGUGCCAGCCGCCGCGGUAAUACCAGCAGUUCAAGUCGCAUCCAUUUUUAUUGGGUCUAAAACAUCCGUAGCUUGUUAUUUAAGUCUCCUGUGAAAUCUCACGUCUUAAGCGUGAGGCUUGCAGGAGAUACUGGAUAGCUAGAGAUCGGUAGACGUAAGGAGUACGCUGAGGGUAACGGUUAAAUGUGUUAAUCCUCGGUGGACUAACGAUGAGCGAAGGCACCUUACGAGGACGAAUCUGACAGUGAGGGAUGAAGGCCAGGGGCGCAAAACGGAUUAGAUACCCGGGUAGUC